AUUGAACGCUGGCGGCAUGCCUUACACAUGCAAGUCGAACGGCAGCACGGGUGCUUGCACCUGGUGGCGAGUGGCGAACGGGUGAGUAAUACAUCGGAACGUACCUUAUCGUGGGGGAUAACGCAGCGAAAGCUGUGCUAAUACCGCAUACGCCCUGAGGGGGAAAGCGGGGGAUCGAAAGACCUCGCGCGAUUAGAGCGGCCGAUGCCUGAUUAGCUUGUUGGUGGGGUAAAAGCCCACCAAGGCGACGAUCAGUAGCUGGUCUGAGGGGACGAUCAGCCACACUGGGACUGAGACACGGCCCAGACUCCUACGGGAGGGAGCAGUGGGGAAUUUUGGACAAUGGGGGCAACCCUGAUCCAGCAAUGCCGCGUGAGUGAAGAAGGCCUUCGGGUUGUAAAGCUCUUUUGUCAGGGAAGAAACACCGGCUCUAACACAGUCCGGGAAUGACGGUACCUGAAGAAUAAGCACCGGCUAACUACGUGCCAGCAGCCGCCGUAA
rnacentral:rRNA from 1 species